rnacentral:rRNA from 2 species
UGGGCGUAAGCGCGCGCAGGCGGUCCUUUAAGUCUGAUGUGAAAGCCCACGGCUCAACCGUGGAGGGUCAUUGGAAACUGGGGGACUUGAGUGCCUAAGAGGAAAGCGGAAUUCCACGUGUAGCGGUGAAAUGCGUAGAGAUGUGGAGGAACACCAGUGGCGAAGGCGGCUUUCUGGUCUGUAACUGACGCUGAGGCGCGAAAGCGUGGGGAGCAAACAGGAUUAGAUACCCUGGUAGUCCACGCCGUAAACGAUGAGUGCUAAGUGUUAGAGGGUUUCCGCCCUUUAGUGCUGCAGCUAACGCAUUAAGCACUCCGCCUGGGGAGUACGGCCGCAAGGCUGAAACUCAAAGGAAUUGACGGGGGCCCGCACAAGCGGUGGAGCAUGUGGUUUAAUUCGAAUUUAUUCGAAGAACCUUACCAGGUCUUGACAUCCUCUGAGACUCCUAGAGAUACCACUUUCCCCUUCGGGGGACAGAGUGACAGGUGGUGCAUGGUUGUCGUCAGCUC